rnacentral:lncRNA from 1 species
GUUUAACUCCCCGUUCGUACAUAAUGCGAAUGAAGGCUUAAGCCUCCUCGAAAUCAACAUACGAUCCAAAACGCCGCUGGUCCUUUGUUCUGAAAAGCGAAGCCAGCGUUCGGCUCCGCAUUUUCUCUUUGGAGUCCAACUUUUCCUUCCACUUGGGGACCCAAAUGGCUUCCAGGGCCCCGAAAACUAAUCCGCCUCGAUCUUUCUCUCCAUUUCCCAGUCCCGUCCCUGCCUCCGAUGCUCCAGGUCGCGUUCUCCGCUCCAACUUGCAACACUGCGCUAAGAAGAAGCCAGGAGCAACAUGACGCACCAGCCAGGCCCCCUCCGGGUGACUGCCUGCCUUUAGUGACUCGGUCUCCUCCACCUCCCCGUUCACCUGAAGGCAGCAGCGGCUCUGGGAGCAGCUAAUUCCGGGCCUCGGGCUUCGCAGCCGUCGGCCAAACCCGCGCAGGUUCCACCCUACGCUGUCUCCAAGGAAGGGAUCCGCGCAGCUCCGGGAAGACGAGCGGCGGGCGGCUGCUGCCAGAGGAACCUCGUCCUUCCUUCCCCUCCUCCUUCCCAAUCCCAACCCUUCCCCCCCUUUUCUGAGCGGCUUGUCGAGGAAGCCAGCUUGGAGGAGCUGCUGUCGCUGCGGCCGCCCGCGAGCAACUGAUCAUGAAGGCACAAAAGGAGAAGCAGAGCAGGAGCCCAGGAGAAAACCGCUGUCUCUUCCCAGCCGCUCCUUUCCUGGGCUGUGGAGCUCUGGAUUGGGGAAUCAGAUUACAAACUUCCCCUGUAAAGGGGUGACCCCACUGAAGACAGAACUAAAGUUUGGUUUUCCAUUCUGGGAAUGAAUUGAUGAGACUGAAGGGUGCAAGAGGAAAGAAAGAGAAGAGAGAAGCUCACACAUCACUUCAUUUUUUCUUCUGCAUCCGUUGUCAUUGGCCAUGAAGAGGAAACAGAAAAGAUUUCUGCAAAUGACGUUGUUGUUCCUGGUGACUCUGAUUUUCCUGCCAAACAUUGGACUCUGGUCAUUGUACAGGGAAAGACACCUGGUGAAAACCGCAAUGCUAGGAGAGCAGCAGGUAAGUGGAAAGAAUAAGCUCAAGAGGCUCCCGAAGCAAAGAGGGUUGCAUGUAUAAGCAGAGACUUACAGCAUCUGUGGCUGCUAUAAUAACCCAGGCUAGCUCAAAUCUGUGCUACACUCUUCUCUGUGAAUUUUGAGCAUGCACUAAAGAAUCUGUAAGAGAACAAGAGGAUCUGUACUUUCAUUCUUCUAAUU